UUUAUGAAUUCUUCAAUAUGUAUUUUAAAAAAUAACAUUCUCAUUUCUCAUAUAAGGCUUGAAUUGAAAAUAUUUCAGUAAUGAUUAAGAAGUAUGAAACUGUAUAAUUCAAGAUCUUGCUAAAUUUUGUUUAUAUUUAUUUAUAUUUAGUUAUCUGAAUAACUAGGAUUCACAGCUUAAGAAAAUAUUGUCUGUACUCAAAAACCUUUUCACAGCUCAAACAUAUUCUCGUUAAAGCCAGUACCAAUACUCUAUAUUUAUUUUGCUCUCUGUCCAAGUGCCGAUGCGGGUUUAUUCAACUCUUGAGGGAGAAGAUGGAAAACAGGGGGUGGGAUUUCCCAACCAUUUGGGGGGGAUGCUGCGACCGGCGAAAACUGUUGCGUGCUUUCGGGAGUGCCCGGGAAAUUGGCGCACUCGUGCACUGGGACAACAAAUAUUCGAGGGCUGAGGAGGAGUUGGGAGGAAGAGGAGGAGAUCCAGGGGUGGCUCGCCCUUUCAGGACACUCCUUGAAUCGCAUAUGCAGUGCACACGUAUAAUACCAUAUCCCCAUUCAAGCAGGGUGACUUCACACACACCGGCCAUUGUAAUGGAAAUCCAACUUUGACACGCGAUUGCUGAGGGGUUGCAAUCUGUUUAAUUGAGGUGUUUAGCACGGUGAAUAAUUAAAACAACAGAGAAACCCGGCAAACCAGACAAAGGUCACAAUAAUAAAUUAGACACGCGUCUCAGUCGAGUUGAAAUGGAGAGUAACUAGGGAUGGGAAAGGUCUCUGAUCGACUUCAGAUAUUUUCUUUACUUUCUCCACUUUUUUCCCGGAAAACUCUAUCCCUCCCGAAAUGCAUCUCCGAUUUCCCCCGAUCCCGCUCGAAUUUCACGCUGUCAUCGCUAAAUGCGAGGAGUUCUAUUACCAUUUGGGCGCAACAAAUGUGUCUGGAGCACAUUUCGUGACCAGGCACAUGUCAUUAGCCCAACCAGCCCAAACAAAUGAUGACUGCCCCACGCACUCAAUGUCCGCCAGAAAGGAACUGCUCCGCUGGAAACUGUGCCACCGUGGAAAACAUGGCAGUAAAGCCAGCGUAAUAAAGCGUUAUUAUGCCGGCCAAGCAUGAAUGUGUGCUAGUGAAAACCGAAGGCAAAGUGUCACCUGCACAGCGAAAAAAUAUUGCACAAGUAGGUCACAAGUAGCUCUAUUAAAAUUGUAAAGUAUGUAAGUUUUUGACGUGAUAUUUUAUCAAACUAAAAGUGGUUUAUAUUGUUUUCUUAACCAACAAACAUAUUAGCAUAUACAAUAAAAAAAAUAUGUAUUUCCGGAUGCUUUUAGAAAAUGUUAACAUUUUUACGAGCACCAUUUAGAAUUUAAAGUGGUGCUGUCCAAACAUUUUAUUAUGGCAACUUAAUUAAACAGCCAUUAACAAAAUUCUUGAGUGCCAGAAAAAAUUAGAAACAAUUUAAAUACAAAUACCUCCAAAUGCAUGCAAUAUUUUUCUCACUCCUUGGACUACUCACUACUGCAUCUGGAUCUUUGAGAUACAGUGGACCCGCAGAUACGAGUGCCGGCACUUGCGUAAGAGCGAACAGUGGGCUCGCAAAGUAAUGUGACAGGCGUUAAAUGCGCCGGCAAUCGAUUUGAUUUGCAGUCGCGAUGCGAAUUUAAUUGAAAUGAAAAAUAGUCGCCCAUUCGCACAGUGGGCAGUUUGCAUCUCGCACUGCCCAGUGGUCACUGGACAUUGGACAGUGGGCGUGGCAAUCUAUGGGCGGCUGCGGAGGCCGAGGACAAAGACAAACGGAGCCAAAGACACUCGAAGCCAAAAAGAGCCAGCUGUAAGGAAGUCAGUCGGUCGGUCGGUUGGCUGGAUGGCUGGCAAAUGUAAAUGCAAAUGCAAAUGCCUGGCUGCCCACGCGAAAUUAUGAAAAAUUAUGAACGCUGACCAAGUUUGAGCCGGGAAAGCCAUGGCUUUCUGGCCAAAAAGGAGCUGCUGGCCAAAAGUGCAUUUCACGCUGGCUAAUGAAACAAAUUAUAAGUGGCCACUGUCGUCGGAGUUUUUUGCGGAAACCCAUGUCGGUAAUUUAACUCUCUCCUCAGCCGAUUACGAAGACGAUCGUCAUAAUGAUGAUGAUGAUGAAUGUCUGGCGCGUGACGCAUGCGCAGGAAACAAAGAACUUAGUUAUCCAUGGGUGGAAACUAUAUUAUUUAGUGGAUCUCAAGUGAAUCAGUCUAUGGAAUUGAGUCAACUCUCUCUUAAGAAUCCCCCCAGUUCGAAAAUAUAGUGCAGAUAAGGGAA